CCUACGGGAGGCAGCAGUGGGGAAUUUUGGACAAUGGGCGCAAGCCUGAUCCAGCCAUGCCGCGUGUCUGAAGAAGGCCUUCGGGUUGUAAAGGACUUUUGUCAGGGAAGAAAAGGGCGGGGUUAAUACCCCUGUCUGAUGACGGUACCUGAAGAAUAAGCACCGGCUAACUACGUGCCAGCAGCCGCGGUAAUACGUAGGGUGCGAGCGUUAAUCGGAAUUACUGGGCGUAAAGCGGGCGCAGACGGUUACUUAAGCAGGAUGUGAAAUCCCCGGGCUCAACCUGGGAACUGCGUUCUGAACUGGGUGACUAGAGUGUGUCAGAGGGAGGUAGGAUUCCACGUGUAGCAGUGAAAUGCGUAGAGAUGUGGAGGAAUACCGAUGGCGAAGGCAGCCUCCUGGGAUAACACUGACGUUCAUGCCCGAAAGCGUGGGUAGCAAACAGGAUUAGAUACCCUGGUAGUCCACGCCCUAAACGAUGUCGAUUAGCUGUUGGGCAGCAUGACUGCUUAGUAGCGAAGCUAACGCGUGAAAUCGACCGCCUGGGGAGUACGGUCGCAAGAUUAAAACUCAAAGG
rnacentral:rRNA from 1 species